GAUGGUGGUAAUACUCACUGAGAUAGAAAACACUAGGAAAACAACAGGUCUGGGGAGUGAAAAUCUGUCUGGACAUGUUGUGUUUGAGUUUCCUUCAAGAGAUCCAAGAGAAAAUAGCAAGUAUACCAUCAGACAUUCAGCUGAAAGACAACGUCUGAUAGGAAGAAGGUGGUGAGUCCCCUACUCAGUGGUGGUCAUGGUAGCUGUGGGUAUGAAUGAGGUGCUCCAGGAAGAGACAGUAAGGAGAUAAAAGGGUCUCUGGUGCACAGUUGAUUUACAAUGUUGUGUUAGUUUCAGGUGUACAGCAAAGUGAAUCAGUUGUAAAUCAACUAUACUCCAAUAAAAAUUUAAAAUAAAAAAAUAAAGUGAAUAAAAAUCCUUUGGGACCAGCACCUCACUCUAAAAGAAAAAAAUGGGGGGUCUGGUGCAACCUUGCAAAACCCAAUAUUUCCUAGCCAGGGAGUAGGUUAGCCUCCUAAAAGACAGGGAGGGUCAGACAGAAGACAAGGAGGAAAUGGGAAAGAGCUGGUGCCUGGUGACCUAGGGAUGGGAGGGAGGCGUGAACGUUUCCCCUAGGAGCCACCACCCGACGCCACUCCCCAAAUCCCCACUACACAUGUUGAAGAAUCUGCUUCAUUUAUUUUAAGUUUUAAAAUAUAUAUACUAACAAUAAGACUUUCAAGAGCAAUAGUAGCUAUGAAUAAGACCAGUUCCCUCCUGUUUGGGUGAAAGCAGUAUUUGAUUCCUAGAGAAAAGCUUCCUGAACAACAACAAAAAUUCUUACCUACUGGAUGAUGUUUGAAGUGUCCCAAUAUCACUACUAAAGCUGGAAUCUGAGCUCAGAGAAAGGAAAGACCUGCUGAAGGUCAUGCUUGGUAGAAGGCGGAGAAGAGAUUCAAACCAAGGGCUGGAGCGCUUGCUCGCAGCUGCGAUACUUCUGCACAUCUCACGAGAACUCUGUUAGAAGACCUGAACUCUCAUCUGAUGGCAAAGCUUGGUGACCAGUCUCCAUACAGCCCGUGGGGGCACCAAGCAGAGUUUCAGAAUCGGAUCUGGAAGGGAUCUCAACGGGCACCUCGUCCAGCUUGGGUACCACACCCACAGCCAAUCCCAGGCUCCGCCAAUGGCUUCCACAACUUUUUUUUUUCUUUUUAUUGGAGUAUAGUUGAUUUACAAUGCUGUGUUAGUGUCAGGUGUACAGCACAGUGAAUCAGUUAUACAUAUACAUAUGUCCACUUUUUUUAGAUUCUUUUCCCAUAUAGGCCAUUACAGAGCAUUGAGUAGAGUUCCCUGUGCUAUGUAGUAGGUCUUUAUUAGUUACCUAUUUUAUACAUAGUAGAGUGUAUAUGUCAAUCCCAGCAUCCCAGUUUAUCCCCCGCACCUUGCCCCCUGACAACCAUAAGUUUGUUAUCUACCUCUGUAACUCUACGUCUGUUUUGUCGAUAAUGGCUUCCACAACUUGACUUCACCUGCGGAGACCGCUGCUCCACUGUCAUGCCCCCAUCACCCCUCACUCUUUCCGCUCCACCACACUGGACCUCUGCAACCUCGUUCCAGCCUCCUAACUUUGCACCUCUUAUUUUCCCUGUGCCUGGGCUGCCACUCCCUCAAAGUGUCACAGGGCUCAGCUCAAUGUCACCCUCUCAGUAAACUUCCCUACCAUGCUGUGUAACGUUCCUCCUCUGUCACCCUCUGCCAUGUUACUAUCUACCAUUUUCUACAGGACACACAUCACUAUCAAAAAUGAUCUUGGAAAUUAUUUUGGGGGUUGUUUUAUUUCAGUCUCCCCUCCUCAAACAAAAGCAUCAUGAGGGCAGGACUUCCCUGUCCUGUCCACAAGUGGAUAGACCCAGUGCCUGGAAUCAUACCUGGCAGAAUCUCAGAUGCCUUUGGAAGUCAGACCAGUGACAGCAAUGAGUGAUGAGGACCGAGUGUAAGGCAAGAAGGAGGAACAUUCACUUCUAUAAGUCCACAUUCCACGACAAGCAUUCAAUGUUGAAAUCGUACUGCAGGUCGAACAAAACACAUCAGGAAGCUGAAAGCUCUCUCUGCCACCAACUCCGACUUGGCCCGUACGCCUUCAAGUACAGUUCCCAUGUGGGUUUUGGGUUUCGGUUUGUUUUGUUAUUGGUGAUUAUGUCUCACCACUGGCAAAUACAUUCAACCAAAGAUCCAACUGGGUUUGUUUUCCAAUGUGCCUUCAAAACACAGCUACCUUCUUUCAGAAAAUGCAAAUGGAAUUUUAAAUCAAAUUUUAAUAAGAUAGCUAAGGAAUAAGAACAGAAAGACAUUAAGAACAGCAGAGUAUCAAAAAAGAUCAAUGAUGGGAGUGGGCAGAGUGUACUUGCUGGUUUAUUUCUACAUGAUUUAGCCUCUGAUCCCCACCAGGUUCAGGCUAUCAGUAGAGAGAAAUUUCUUUCUCGAGUCUCGGGGCAUACACUGACUGACACGUGCCACCAGAAGCAGAAAACUACGUCAACUGCGAUUAAACAUUUUGCUAUAGGUAACCCACAAUCAGUGUGAUUCCCAUGGAGAUCUCUGAAAUAGACAUAUAAUCACCAGCAGUUGCAAAACCCUGUAAGAUAAGACAUUCAUAGUCCUCAAGCAAAUUUUGGGCAGAUCUGAAAUCAGAAUACUCUUCUGAGGUUGGAAAAUUUGGGUAUUUCUCUAGCUCAGAAAAAAAUUGAAAAAUGGAAGUUUAUAUCCUUAGAAAGACUGUUUGCUCUGGGUUUUCUGUUCAAUCCAAACCAAAAAGCAAUGGAAAUACAUCAGAAGCAGGGCUGUAUGUUUCAUCCCAAUUUCCCCUGUGGUUGGGUACUUUUGUGCAGGCAGAGACCUUUAAAGUCUUGGGGUCUACUUCUCCAAAUAAAAUUAGACCUCUGCAGCUCUUCCUUCACUAACCGGUAUAAUGCAUGAAUGGAAUUAAUCUGAAGCUUCAGUUCUCUACAUUUCUGAAAUUAGAAAUGGAUGUGAAGGGAGAAAAGCUAAA